rnacentral:lncRNA from 1 species
UUCUGGAAAUCCGUGACUGUCUAGUUAACGAUGGAGUUGCCGGGCAGAAUUUUCUUUGGGGGGAGGUGCAGCGUGCUGGACAUUCUUUUUCUGAUAAUUUUACACCUCAUACAGCAGUUUCAGGGGCGUUUUUGCUUAUGGACUAGCCUCAACAUGAGGGCCGAAUUGGACAGAAUUAUGGCAGUCCUUUACACAGGCAAACAGAUUCAUUCGGUAGGCAGUUUCUGGGUUUUUAAAAACGAAAAUCUGGGCAGAUUGGCUGGGGAUAAAUUCAAUACAAAAAUUGCCUAUCAUUUCUUUAGGCCUAAUGGUACUUUCAAGCCUUGGGGAACCGAAGUUUGGAGGUCGUGCAUCACUCCAAAGCAUUCUUUUAUGCUUUGAUUAGGGGCCCAAUUAAAGCUCCUAACCAAAGAUAAAUUGGUCUACUUGGAUAUUGAUCACAAGUGUGUACUUUGUCGCUGUUUUGAGGAAACUUGUGAGCAUCUUUUCUUCAAAUGCUCUUUCACAUCUUCAUUAUGAGGGAGCAUUAGGAGAUGGCUUGGCAUCACAAGAUCUAUGUCGACACUUGCUAUGGCGCUUAAGUGGAUGAAAAAGGAGAACCGUGGAAUUUCGUGGCUUAGCAAAGCCAAGAGAGUUGCUCUUGCUAGCACAGUAAACUAUAUCUGGCUUACGAGGAAUAGGAUGAUUUUUGAAGACCUCCCGGCCAACUUGGAUUCCAUUGCUAGAAGGAUCAAGACACACGUAUACAAAGUUAUGUUCACUUUAUAUCCGAAUGUCUUGAUUAUUUUUGAAUCCUUGGCUAUGGAUCGUUG